rnacentral:rRNA from 1 species
UCUCCUGGAAACGGGUGGUAAUGCCGGAUGCUCCAGUUGACCGCAUGGUCCUCUGGGAAAGCUUUUGCGGUAUGGGAUGGGGUCGCGUCCUAUCAGCUUGAUGGCGGGGUAACGGCCCACCAUGGCUUCGACGGGUAGCCGGCCUGAGAGGGCGACCGGCCACAUUGGGACUGAGAUACGGCCCAGACUCCUACGGGAGGCAGCAGUGGGGAAUAUUGCACAAUGGGCGCAAGCCUGAUGCAGCGACGCCGCGUGCGGGAUGACGGCCUUCGGGUUGUAAACCGCUUUUGACUGGGAGCAAGCCCUUCGGGGUGAGUGUACCUUUCGAAUAAGCACCGGCUAACUACGUGCCAGCAGCCGCGGUAAUACGUAGGGUGCAAGCGUUAUCCGGAAUUAUUGGGCGUAAAGGGCUCGUAGGCGGUUCGUCGCGUCCGGUGUGAAAGUCCAUCGCUUAACGGUGGAUCCGCGCCGGGUACGGGCGGGCUUGAGUGCGGUAGGGGAGACUGGAAUUCCCGGUGUAACGGUGGAAUGUGUAGAUAUCG